AGUAUUAUAGUUUAUAAAAAAUUUUAAAUUGCAAAUUUAAAGAAAAAUUAUUAUUUUAAUACUU
rnacentral:tRNA from 1 species